AACGAACGCUGGCGGCAGGCUUAACACAUGCAAGUCGAACGGAUGUAGCAAUACAUCAGUGGCAGACGGGUGAGUAACACGUGGGAACCUUCCUCGUUGUACGGGACAACUCAGGGAAACUUGAGCUAAUACCGUAUACGUCCGAGAGGAGAAAGAUUUAUCGCAAUGAGACGGGCCCGCGUCGGAUUAGCUAGUUGGUGGGGUAACGGCCUACCAAGGCGACGAUCCGUAGCUGANCUGAGAGGAUGAUCAGCCACACUGGGACUGAGACACGGCCCAGACUCCUACGGGAGGCAGCAGUGGGGAAUCUUGGACAAUGGGCGCAAGCCUGAUCCAGCCAUGCCGCGUGAGUGAAGAAGGCCUUAGGGUUGUAAAGCUCUUUUGCCAGGGACGAUAAUGACGGUACCUGGAGAAUAAGCCCCGGCAAACUUCGUGCCAGCCGCCGCAGU
rnacentral:rRNA from 1 species